AAGGGUAUAGCUCAGUGGUAGAGUUUAUGCUUAGCAUGUGCAAGGUCCUGGGUUCAAUCUCCAGUACCUCCA
rnacentral:tRNA from 1 species